AUUGGAAUGACUUACAGUCUGCAGUCCAACUAGCCCAAAAAUGGGCAGCUGUAAGUGGGAAGUCCAAGAAUCUAAUAGUUGCUUAGUAUCAAGAGGCUAGGUGUUUCAGCUGGUCUUCUAUAUAAGUUGGAAUCCUGAAGAAGUAGGUUCCAACAGAUGUACUGGCAAGUAAGUGCAAGCAAGCAAAGAAGAAAAAGAAGGCUGGCAGAAUGUAUGACCCAGAUUAAAGAUGUACACAACCACAGCUGAACCUAAGCUGCUCUUGGAACUUGCUCAGUCCCAGGCUGGUCGUGAACCCAGAGAUCUGCCUGUCUCUGUAUCCUGGGAUUAAAGGUCACUACAGCAUGAAGAACUGUAUUAAAGGGUCACAGUAUGAAGAAGGUUGAGAACCAUAGGAGGUUGAGGACUACACAGAGUAACACAUUAUGUACAUAUAGAAUUGAGAAGAAGAAAAAAGAAAAAAAGAAAAGGAAAGAUACACACACAAAACAAUUCUCGGCAGACUGGUUAUGGAAGUGGAGCACAGAAAGUAGGCUGUCCAUCCACAGGAAUCCCUGACUACAGCCACUGCUGCAAAGAUGGAAACAAACCUAAGAACCUGAUGUACCUGUGCAGUACGAAAGACUGGCUUAGCAAGGCAUGUACAGACCCGCCAGAAAGCGGGAGUGGUCCUUUGUGAACUCAGAAUGAGCCUUGAAAAGGAGAAAUAAAUCCUCAAACCAAAAGAGACGUGAGCCAGAAUACAAAUAUUAUGGAAGAAGAAACAUGUUGUUUUUAUAAUUGGCAACAUGGCUUGGUUUAGUGUCACAUAAGACAUGAAGUUGAUGACAGAUUACAUCACUCCUUUCUUCCCAUAAGGACAGGAAGGACAUGAAUAUCCAUACUGCUCAUCUUGAAGAGAAAGAGAUCAUCACUGAAGAUGAAUCUGGAAUUUUCUAGAUGGUGACUUACAGGACCUCCAGGGGUUUAAGCCUUGAAUUCUUUCAUCAUGUCCCAACUGGCUUAACAUACUUCUGAGAAGUUAUGUAACUAAGGUGCUGUAACUAAUGGCUGGAGCCGUUGCUGAACUCCAUCACUGAAGCCAGCAGUGCUCAAUGGACAUUCUUGGGACUGCUAUGGAGGCACUAUUGAAUAUAAAAGCACAGCUGAGGGUAGGAAUCUGAAAUUAGACCACCCGGGUUUCAGUCCUCACUUGCAGAUCAGCACAGAGUGACCUCAACUGAGUUGAUGCCAAAGAAGAAAUUCAACCAAAUGUAUCAUACAUAGGGUAUGAAAGUACUCGUACACGAUCACCUCAGUCAGAAGGCUAGAGCAGGAAGGCCCUGAAAUCAAGGGCAGCCUGGGCUACAAAAACAAAAGCCUGCUCCAUAAAAGAGGCAGCAAUGAGAAGGUCUUACAUGCUUCUGAUAAAAAGGUCAAUAAACUAGAUGUUACAAAUA